UCUCCCGUGGCGCAAUUGGCUAGCGCGUUCGACUGUUAUUCGAUGAAUUGGUCAAUCGAGAGGUUGGUGGUUCGAGCCCACCCGGGAGAG